rnacentral:rRNA from 1 species
AUUGAACGCUGGCGGCAGGCUUAACACAUGCAAGUCGAGCGGGGUGAUGGUGCUUGCACUAUCACUUAGCGGCGGACGGGUGAGUAAUGCUUAGGAAUCUGCCUAUUAGAGGGGGACAACAUCUCGCAAGGGAUGCUAAUACCGCAUACGUCCUACGGGAGAAAGCAGGGGAUCACUUGUGACCUUGCGCUAAUAGAUGAGCCUAAGUCGGAUUAGCUCGGUGGUGGGGUAAAGGCCUACCAAGGCGAAGAUCUGUAGCGGGUCUGAGAGGAUGAUCCGCCACGCUGGGACUGAGACACGGCCCAGACUCGUACGGGCGGACGCAGUGGGGAAUAUUGGACAAUGGGGGGACCCCUGAUCCAGCCAUGCGGCGUGUGUGAAGAAGGCCUUAUGGUUGUAAAGCACUUUAAGCGAGGGGGAGGCUCGUUUGGUUAAUACCCAAGAUGAGUGGACGUUACUCGCAGAAUAAGCACCGGCUAGCUCUGUGCCAGCCGCCGCGGUAA